GACGAACGCUGGCGGCGUGCCUAAUACAUGCAAGUCGAGCGGGCAGAAGGGAGCUUGCUCCCGGAUGUUAGCGGCGGACGGGUGAGUAACACGUGGGUAACCUGCCUGUAAGACUGGGAUAACUCCGGGAAACCGGAGCUAAUACCGGAUAGUUCCUUGAACCGCAUGGUUCAAGGAUGAAAGACGGUUUCGGCUGUCACUUGCAGAUGGACCCGCGGCGCAUUAGCUAGUUGGUGGGGUAAUGGCUCACCAAGGCGACGAUGCGUAGCCGACCUGAGAGGGUGAUCGGCCACACGGGGACUGAGACACGGCCCAGACUCCUAUGGGAGGCAGCAGUAGGGAAUCUUCCGCAAUGGACGAAAGUCUGACGGAGCAACGCCGCGUGAGUGAUGAAGAUUUUCGGAUCGUAAAGCUCUGUUGUUAGGGAAGAACAAGUGCGAGAGUAACUGCUCGCACCUUGACGGUACCUAACCAGAAAGCCACGGCUAACUACGUGCCAGCAGCCGCCGUAACAC
rnacentral:rRNA from 1 species